AUUGAACGCUGGCGGCAGGCUUAACACAUGCAAGUCGAGCGGUAACAGAGAGAAGCUUGCUUCUCUGCUGACGAGCGGCGGACGGGUGAGUAAUGCCUAGGAAUCUGCCUAGUAGUGGGGGAUAACUUGCCGAAAGGUAAGCUAAUACCGCAUACGUCCUACGGGAGAAAGGAGGGGACCUUGGGGCCUUUCGCUAUUAGAUGAGCCUAGGUCGGAUUAGUUAGUUGGUGAGGUAAUGGCUCACCAAGACCGCGAUCCGUAACUGGUCUGAGAGGAUGAUCAGUCACACUGGAACUGAGACACGGUCCAGACUCCUACGGGAGGCAGCAGUGGGGAAUAUUGGACAAUGGGGGGAACCCUGAUCCAGCCAUGCCGCGUGUGUGAAGAAGGUCUUAGGAUUGUAAAGCACUUUAAGUUGGGAGGAAGAGCAGUUAACUAAUAUUUGACUGUUUUGACGUUACCGACAGAAUAAGCACCGGCUAACUUCGUGCCAGCAGCCGCCGCAGUAA
rnacentral:rRNA from 1 species